rnacentral:misc_RNA from 1 species
GAUGAAGAACGCAGCGAAACGCGAAAUGUAGUGUGAAUUGCAGAAUUCCAGUGAAUCAUCGAAUCUUUGAACGCACCUUGCGCUCCGUGGCAGUCCGCGGAGCAUGCCUGUUUGAGUGUCGCACCCCCUCUCGACCCCCGCCCGCUUUCGCUAGCGGGCGCGCGGGCUCGGAUCUUGGCCUCUGUCCUCUGCCCUCUGCGGCGACGACGAGGAAGGCCGAAACGCGACGAGCGCGAGACGCGCGCGGCUUGACCGGACCGAUUGUACGCACCUUCGGCGCCGGGACGCGCACCGACGAGCGCUGCGAAAGCACUAGCCCUGUGACUUCGACCUCAAAUCAGGUAGGACGACCCGCUGAACUUAAGCAUAUCAAUAAGCGGAGGA